CAGACAAAAAGCAGGCAAAUCAGCAUCUCUACGGCUUUGUAAUGGGGCAAGAAUAUCUAAAAACCGGAUGUGAGGAGAUGACAUAGGUCUACUUUGACCUUUCUCUUCGGUGUAUACGUACACGUACCAACCGAUUUCUUAAACGAUGACUUACUGAGAGCUCACGUUGGUUCACGUCUUGGAAGUUCAUGUAAUACGUUCAUCGCUGUUGAGUCAUAGUGUCAGUUCAAGAUCGAUCAGUGUAUAAAAUUACUCUAGCUGCAGACAUUGUUCAUUCAUUUUCUGCGUAGAGCGAAAUUUGUUUACCUUGUAUUCGAUCUAGUUUGUAUACAUUGUUGUCUUUGAAAUACACUACGAUUGAACACAACUGUCUUUGAAUCAA